GAUGAACGCUAGCGGCAGGCUUAACACAUGCAAGUCGAGGGGCAGCGGGAUGUAGCAAUACAUUGCCGGCGACCGGCGCAAGGGUGCGUAACGCGUGAGCAACAUGCCCGUCACAGGAGGAUAAACCAUGGAAACGUGGCCUAAUACUCCAUAGUAUAUCAGAGAGGCAUCUUUUUGAUAUUAAAGCUUCGGUGGUGACGGAUUGGCUCGCGUGACAUUAGCUAGAUGGAGAGGUAACGGCUCACCAUGGCGACGAUGUCUAGGGGAACUGAGAGGUUAAUCCCCACACUGGUACUGAGACACGGACCAGACUCCGUACGGGAGGCAGCAGUGGGGAAUA
rnacentral:rRNA from 1 species